UUAGUGAUAAUUUUCUCAGCAAGUGUGCCUUUGAGCAUGAAUGAUGAGGAAGACAACUGAGUAACUUCAACAGCUGUUUUAUGUGAGGACAAUUCUAUCUUGGAACUUCUUGCCAAUGAUCCAGGCUAUUGUCACGUCAUCUGCCAUAGCCUGUGUCACAUAAUCUAAUCUUUUUCACAAAGUGGCUGUCUUCAAAGAGCCUUUUAAAAUAGCUUAAUUCCAGGAUGGGCACCCUUACAGAACUGAAGCACAGGAGUUGUGUACAGUGGUGGAGGAGGAACUGUACCCUCCCUGUGAGUAUCCAGUGGACUUCAGUGGACUUCAGUCCAAACAUAACAGCAAUUUCCGGUUUUAUAGACCUGGUGGAAGCUUUCCAGUGUUCAGCUAAGAGUGUGGUCUCUCUCUGUUGCUGAGUUGAUACUGCUGCUUCCCUCAGCAGCCAAGCCUUGUUCUCAAGGCUUCAUUCCACAACUGGCUUUGAGGUUGCUUCUGUUUAAUUCUGGAGUUUAAACCUCUGCCACUACUCUCCUCCACAGAAAAUAGAUGAAGAAAGUAGUUCAAAAACUACACCCGCACUCAAUAUGUGUUGUGAUUAAAAUACUGUCUGAUUCUCCGACUGGAGUGUGUGUGUGUCCUUGGAGGGAGUUGGACGUGUGCCAGGAGGAAGUGCACGUACCCACUGAUGGUCUGAAAAGACUGCUUCAACUCUGGGGCCGAAAGCAGCAAACUCAAAAGGAAGGUUGGAGUCAAUGGGUCCUGACACUAAUGGGACGAUUCUCCAGGCUAAUUCACCACUUUCUAGACAACUCAGUCCUGAAGCGUCUCAUUCCAGGAUUUAUCUCACUCACUGGUGUUUGGCCUUACCUUAAUUCAUCUUUUUAUUCAACAAGGACAGGAAGUGACCCAAGGAGAUAUUUAUCACCUCAGCUUUCUUCAUUUUGCCUAGGGAUAACUUUCAGGCCACAAGCUUUUCUUUCAAAAAUGUAUACCCAGCCACCCCCAAAUAAAUUCAUCAUUUCUAUACUAACACUUAAUAUAAGCAACCUUGCCUUUUUAUUUCUCCAAAGGACUAGGAAUCAUUUUAUUUGA
rnacentral:lncRNA from 1 species